UAUAAAAGUUUUUUGUAUUGUGUAAAAUUAUUUAUUAUAUUUUUCAUGAUUUUUUCAGAUUGAGAAAUGCCCAUUGCAAUCUCGUGGGCAGAGGAGGUGUGCUGAAAUGCACAUGUGGUUUUCACACUCAAAAUGGACAUUUAUGAAUCAAUAUGUGUUUAUUAAUAUUUACUACAAUAUCUUUCCUUCUCCAUGAUUAUAUGUAUUUUUGUGAUUAUUUUUAGCAGAGUACUGCCUCUGGUGCAAUAGUCUGCCCCUACUGUACCUGCUCAAGAUGUGAUGGAGACGAGACAACUUAAGGCCCAGUCCCAGCCCCCGUCUACUCCACCAGUGGCAUCAAAGAUUUCACCGCAAUUGUCAAUGGAGCGGUUUAAAUCAAGAUUGGCAAAUUUGCAUCAACAUCACCAAGACUGCUUUAACCGCUUUAACGAAGCAGAAAGUGAAUUAAGACAAAAGACUUGCAUACAAAAAUCAAAGCAUUGUGAGUAUUUAACCUAAUUAAUAUAUCAUUAUUUAAACCUACCACAAACUGCCAUUUGGAGGUUUAAUGGUGCAUUUUCUUUUGAAUUUUAUAUAUUCAUUCUAAUCUUCAUACUCUCCUGAACAGCGUUCAUCACCUGCAACAGCAACACUCACAUCAUCUCCAUCCUGUCCUGAGCAACCUACAUCAUGUGCAACUGCAACACUCAUGACAUCUUCAUACUGUCCUGAGCAGCGUUUAUCACCUGCAACAGCAACACUCAAAACAUUCUGUUCAGCAAAGAGUCUAUAAUGAAUUCUGUUUUGAUUCUCCUUUUACUCUUACUUCAUAAAAACAUUUUACUACAUGAAAAAAAAAAUUUAAAAAAAAGUUAACGGUACAAUUUUUCCAUUGUGUUUUAUUUGUUUUGGUCAGUGUAUACAUAAUGCAACUUUGAAAAUAGGUAAUUACUGAUUUAUAUUUAACCCAUUUAAUUAACUUUUUAUAGUUUUCUUGUGAUUGGCUAAAACAUUCAUUUAGAUUUAGAAGUUUUGAGUGAUUAAGGCAGACAUUUUAAAUAUGCAAGCUUUUAUUGAGCAAUGUUGUUCUAUAGAUUUUAGAUAUUUCUUUAGGUAGUUUUGCCCAGAUUAGUUUUGAAUUAGGAAACUCAAGGUAUCAGCACCAAAUUAUCUACUAAUGAAUGGGUCUGGAUUGGAUCCAGAUAAGCUACUUCAUCAAUGGGUUCGGGUCUAGAUUGGAUCUGGGCCGGAUGAGCUAGUCUAUCAGCGGGUCUGGAUCGGAUCUGCGCCGGAUGAGCUACUCUAUCAGCGGGUCUGGAUUGGAUCCGAGCUGGAUGAGCUACUCUAUUAACGGGUCCGGAUCGGAUCUGGAUGAAGAGCUUUAUUAGCGGAUACGGGUAACGUCUGAAAUGGGUCCGGAACGGAUACAGAAUUCUUAUCCGUUCCGGAUCCGUUGCGCUGUGCAAGUAGACUCCAGUACAGACCCAUUUGCGGACCCGUUUCUGUUGCGGAUCAUGUAAUACCUCCGGCGCGUAUCUGUUCCGGAGUCAUUUUGAUAUCCGGAAAACCUUUAGGCAGCAGUAAGCCUCACAAAUACUUAAAAUUGAUUGACUUAAACUGCUUAAACUUUAUUAAAACUACACUUUGUUCACUUUG